GGAACCGGAAGCCGCGCUCAGACCGGAAGUCACGUGGCCAGCGUGACUUUGGCGUGAGGUAGGAGAAGGGCGGAUGGCUGGGUGGGGAGCUUUUGCCUCGCGAGGUAGGAGCCGGGAUGAGAGGGAGGUUUUUAGGCCCGGAGAAGGGGCGCUGUGGUGUGGUCUGAGGGUCUCCCGGGAAGGCGGGAAAUAUGCGGAGAGGCAGAGGCAGCGCUGCCUCUGUGACGACGCUGACGCGUUCUCUCACAACCGCGGAGCCCGGAGGUGGUUCCCUCGAGGGAAGCGGUAGGCGCCCCCGUAGAGGCCUUGGCUGUGGAGCGACACCUGAGGAAGUGUGUUCACCAGCCUCCUGCUCCCGCUGCCGCUGCCGGAGGGAGAGAGAUUCAGGGCCCUGCGUGCAUGCGACGUGCCUCCUCCCUGGGGGCUCGGCUGAGCCACCGACGAUGACGUCAACACCCAGAACCCAGAAACCUUUUAUCCAGACACCCUUUCCUGCUACCAGAGAAGGAAACCGGCUGAUGUUGAUGCCAUUGGCCAGAGUGGCUUCUCCAUUGCUUCCUACCACUCAGUUCGGAGCUUUCCCAAGAGAGAAUUCACGGAGUACAGAGUCACAGGAGGACAUGUGAUUCAACGCAAGAGCCACAGACAUCAGAGAUAAUGUUUCAGAAUCCUGGAGCUGCUGUAACAAUCACCACAAACUAAGUGGCUUAAACAAUGGAAGUGUACUCUCACAGUGCUGGAGGCUGCAGGUCUGAAAUCAAGGUGUUGGUAGGGCCAUACUCCUUCUAAAGCCUCUCAGAGAGGGCCCAUUCUUGCCUCUUCUGGGGCUUGUCAUGCUCAUCUGUAAUCCCUGGCACUCCUUGGUUUGUAGACACAACACUCCACUCCGAGUCUGUCUUUAUAUGGCCAUCUUCCCUCUGUGUGUCUGUGUGUUCAAAUUUCCCUCUCCUUAAAAGGAUGCCAGUCAAUGGAUUAAUCCUAAUCCUAAUACUCAGUUAUUACCUCAUCUCAACUCCGUUACAUCUGCAAAAAAAACCCUACUUUCAAAUAAAGCCACAUUCACAGCUAUCAGGGGUUAAGAUUUGAGCAUCCUUGGGUGGGGGGGGGCACAAUUCCACCCACCACAGAUGCAGACUCCAUACUUCUAUUAAUCUACCAGAAGCCACAAAGACCCUACAUAGAACAUCUCUUUCUGAGGCCUGUGAAACCCCACCCUCCAGCAAUGUGUGCAUGAGAAUAGAAAAGAAGUCAUCCACUUUCAUUAGACGCCUGGCAGAAGGGAGCUAGUAGCUAGCGUGCCCUCCUUUUACCUCUCCCCAUGGAGCAGCCUCGCUGUUCUGCAGAGUGGCUCUCAUGGGCCACGACGGAAGGCUGGGCACUGAAGCCUGGGCAGCUGCUCACUUAAAUUCCUGAGCCACACAGAGCAAGCAGCCCGGAGUGACAGUGACUUGGGGGAUGGCCAGACUUGCUCGAAAAGCUGUCAUUUCAGAAAGGAAGGGAAAAAAAUCCUUUUUUUUUUUUUUUAAAUCGCUGAAAGUCAAAGAUUUAAAAACUUGGCUAUGACCAUGAAAUGUCUGAAGUAGAGCUGGUCUGUAAAGAUAAGUCUCUUAAACCAGCAGGCAUUCCAACAGGCCGUUGGCAGCAGCUGAGCUACCAUUGGCUUGCUUGGAAGAAGCGUGGAAUCACAUGGCCCUUGCUGGUUCCGGAGCAGGGGCAUAGAGAGGAGGAAGGAGAAAAAAGGUAGGGAGUGGAUGGAAACAUUUUCUAAAGGUGGUUUCGUCCUCUCCCGGGGCUUCCUGAUGCUCAGGAGAGGAGAGUUUAGGGACCUGCCGAAUAUCUAUCUAAUACGGAAAAACAGCCUCAGACAUACCAUCUUGUAACUGGAGCCACACAAACCUCUACUUCUGAAUGUUCCCAUGGCAAAGACACAGAUUUUCACAACAUUCCAAGAAAAUCCUGAAAUUGAGUCCUGUAGAUGGCUUGGAAUUUUUUUGGCCAGGGAAAUAAUAUUCCACGCAUCAGAGGUGCAUCUGUGUGGGCAGAUGUCUUGCAACCAAUGGAGAGAGCCCCAAAGCUGGUGGUCACUGCUGGGGGUGGGGGUUGGAAUGCAGGCAGGAGAGCAAAGUGCCUCUGCUGCAGAGAUACUGCUGGGCUGGGUGAUGCCAGAGAUGGGGAGCAACAGGGUAAGGAUUCAGGAAUGUAUUUCUCUUCCCCAUCCCCACUCCUUGCUUCUCAAUGGAAAUGGCAGCAUUGUCAUGAUUUCCCAACUAAAAAUCAUGGAGAAUAUUUAGUGUCUUAUGCAUGAAGGCCAGUGGCCAGUAUUAUGCCCGUAGGCAUUGGAAUUUUAUAUCAACAGCAAAAUCUCAUCUAAAAAAAAACUUGUAUAUCAAAUCAUUAUAGGAAAUUUAUUCAUGUCAUAACUUUAAAAAUAAAGACCUGGUCCUCCCAGCAGAAUCUUUGCACCCCUCAUUAUGGAUUAAACUGAUGCCCAAACUGAGAAAGUGGCAGGCUCACUGGCACCUAUGCUUAUUAUAAAAUCCAUCUUCUUUUCAUGUCCAAUAUAAUCAAGGCAGCCACACCCCACACUCAGCCAAUCUGGCCUUUCUUUCCCCAAUUCCAGACCCCACUUUAUGUGAGAAUAUAUAUAAUCACCCUGGUGGGCUUGGAGCCUGUCUUGAAAUAAAACAUCAGAACCACAGGGGAGAGACUCAAACCCAAAUUGUGCAUCCUGACUUGGCACACAUAUCCUUCCUUGUCUUCACUUGUUAAUUUGGGGAGGCACUGAGAGCUCCCCAGGAUGGGCGAGGGUUUUGCAAACAUUCCUGCCCCAAGCCCUGCAAAGGCCUGACGACCAGAGCCCAGAGCUCUCCUGGCUCCUACCCUAGCCCCUCUGGAGACAGAAGGACAGCCCUGCCCAUUCAGGCUGCCUCCAUUCUCACAAACUCCAUGCAACAGCAUCUGGAGGACAAUGUGAUAUAUGGCGUCUUUUCAGAGAACAGGAUGCAGAUGCGCGGGGGAGGGUAACCCGAGAACAGUGCAAGAAGAUGCUUCUGUCCCCGGAGUUCAACGCAUAAAUUACAAACCACAAUUUCAAAUUGGAAG
rnacentral:lncRNA from 1 species